rnacentral:rRNA from 1 species
UACGGGGGGGGUAAGCGUUGUUCGGAAUUACUGGGCGUAAAGGGCUCGUAGGCGGCCAACUAAGUCGGACGUGAAAUCCCUCAGCUUAACUGGGGAACUGCGUCCGAUACUGGAUGGCUUGGAUUUGGGAGAGGGAUGCGGAAUUCCAGGUGUAGCGGUGAAAUGCGUAGAUAUCUGGAGGGAUACCGGUGGCGAAGGCGGCAUCCUGGACCGGCAUUGACGCUGAGGAGCGAAAGCCAGGGGAGCAAACGGG